AUUGAACGCUGGCGGCAUGCCUUAUACAUGCAAGUCGAACGGUAACAGGUCUUCGGCUGCUGCCGAGUGGCGAACGGGUGAGUAAUACAUCGGAACGUGCCCGAUCGUGGGGGAUAACGAAGCGAAAGCUUUGCUAAUACCGCAUACGAUCUACGGAUGAAAGCGGGGGAUCUUCGGACCUCGCGCGGACGGAGCGGCCGAUGGCAGAUUAGGUAGUUGGUGGGAUAAAAGCUUACCAAGCCGACGAUCUGUAGCUGGUCUGAGAGGAUGAUCAGCCACACUGGGACUGAGACACGGCCCAGACUCCUACGGGAGGCAGCAGUGGGGAAUUUUGGACAAUGGGCGCAAGCCUGAUCCAGCCAUGCCGCGUGCAGGAUGAAGGCCUUCGGGUUGUAAACUGCUUUUGUACGGAACGAAAAGGUGCCUUCUAAUAAAGGGCGCUCAUGACGGUACCGUAAGAAUAAGCACCGGCUAACUACGUG
rnacentral:rRNA from 1 species